UGGGCUUGACAUGUAGGUCAUACCCGUGGAAACACGGGGUCAGUUCGGCUGGACCUUCACAGGUGGUGCAUGGCUGUCGUCAGCUCGUGUCGUGAGAUGUUGGGUUAAGUCCCGCAACGAGCGCAACCCCCGUCGCAUGUUGCCAGCAUUUAGUUGGGGACUCAUGCGAGACUGCCGGUGACAAACCGGAGGAAGGUGGGGAUGACGUCAAGUCAUCAUGCCCCUUAUGUCCAGGGCUACACACGUGCUACAUUGGCGCGUACAGAGGGCUGCGAUACCGCGAGGUGGAUCGAAUCCCUUAAAGCGCGUCUCGGUUCGGAUUGCAGGCUGAAACUCGCCUGCAUGAAGGCGGAGUUGCUAGUAAUCGCGGAUCAGCAUUGCCGCGGUGAAUACGUUCCCGGGCC
rnacentral:rRNA from 1 species